GUCCGGAAUUAUUGGGCGUAAAGCGCGCGCAGGCGGUCCCUUAAGUCUGAUGUGAAAGCCCACGGCUUAACCGUGGAGGGUCAUUGGAAACUGGGGGACUUGAGUGCAGAAGAGGAGAGCGGAAUUCCACGUGUAGCGGUGAAAUGCGUAGAGAUGUGGAGGAACACCAGUGGCGAAGGCGGCUCUCUGGUCUGUAACUGACACUGAGGCGCGAAAGCGUGGGGAGCAAACAGGAUUAGAUACCCUGGUAGUCCACGCCGUAAACGAUGAGUGCUAAGUGUUAGAGGGGUUAUUCCCUUUAGUGCUGUAGCUAACGCGUUAAGCACUCCGCCUGGGGAGUACGGCC
rnacentral:rRNA from 1 species